rnacentral:tRNA from 1 species
AAUAAAAUGGCUGAGUUUAAGCGAUAAAUUGUAAAUUUAUUAACGGGAAAUUAUCUCUUUUAUUA